AUGCUUGUCGAGACAAACAAGCAUGAAUAAUACUAUAUUGUUUACAAGCUUCUUAAGUUGGUAUUAAUUCUGCCAGUAGCUACUGCUAGUGUUGAAAGGGUGUUCUCUUCAAUGAACUAUGUGAAGAAUAAGCUAAGGAGAAAAAUGGGUGAUGAUUACUUAAACAAUUGUUUGGUUACAUUUGUUGAGAGGGAAUUCUUCAAUCAAGUAAAGGAUGAGGAUGUCAUCAAUCUCUUCCAAAAAGGCGAUCGCAAAGUUAUAUUGUAA
rnacentral:rRNA from 1 species